rnacentral:lncRNA from 1 species
CUGACUUGAAACAUGCUUUGAUGAAUUAGUGCAACUCGGCCAGCCAUUUACUUUAAAUUUUACCCUUGAUUCUUCCUCUAGCAAACAAUUAAGGAGCAGCAGUGGCUUCCUGCAGGGGAGACCAAUGCCUUCUGUCCUCAGCGGAAACAGCUUGGCAUUCUUCCAAUUGAUGAAUGGCAUGGACCAGGAGCACUAGUUAUCUUCAGCUUCUGAGCAUCCGAAUAAAUAAACAUACAAAUGCAUAACAUAAAAUAAAUUCAAAUUACAAAUGAGAAAACCAAUCUAGGUUACCGGCAAGUCCUAUGACUUGAUGUGGAGGCCUGGAAGUGCAUCCUUGAAUCUUGCAAUGCAGUGAGCCAAGGAGCAAUGAGAGGCCACAUGAAUAACCGGGCCAGUGACAAGACACAUGUCCUCCUCCUUGCUGGUAUACACCAGAAUGCCCCGCAUGCAGCGAAUGCUCAAAAAGUGUUGGUGGAAGUGACAGAAUUCCAUCACCAUUAAACACAACCAGUGUUGCGGUUGACAAUGCUUUGUGCUGAUGAACAUGGUCACCUUGAAAGGUGUGUUGAAUAUGGCAGAGCCAGAAAAUGCAAGGAGCUUCUUCUCUGGAUCACCACUUGAAGAAGAGCCACUUGCUCCUCAGGAACCCUAUUUUGGACUGACGUUGCAAGAAAGCUCAAGUAGCCUAUGGAGAGGAUGCAAGGCUUCCAGCUGAUGCCCUCAGCCAGGCUCAGUAGCAGCCAGAACUAGCCUACCAACGAACCUGCUGAUCAUGUGCAUAAGCCACCUUGAACGUCGAUCCUCCUGCCUGGUGGAGCCAUCCCAGCUGAUGCCACAUGAAGCAGACACAAGCUGUCCCUACUAAGCUCUGCUCAAGUUGGAUAUUCAUGAGUGAAAUAAAUGACUGUUACUAAGUAAUUAAUUUUUGGGUGGCUGUUAUGUAGCAGUAGAUAAUUGGAACAAAGCUUAUUGACAUAAUACAUCUAUAUCACAUCCUCCAAUCCAUUUUUUUAAGUAAUAAAGUUGAUGUUUGUUUUGAUUUUCAGUUACAGCUUUACAUAUUUUGUCUUAAUUAGUCAAUUUUUUCCAAACUCAAAAUGGGUUUUUGUAAGAGUAGUAGUAGGGUCCUAGAAUAAUGGCAAUUCUCUUUCACUGGAGAAAGUUUUGUAGAGAAGACAAAAGAAUUUUUACAAGUACUCCACUGGUGAAAACUCAUAAACCUUGAAGGUAUUUUUAAAUUCAUCAUGCAUUUAUCAAUUUAUAAAUGAAUUCAUCAUUCAUUGGUCCAUUCAUCCAUCCCUCCAUCCAUUUCUAGAUCCUCUCAUAAGAGGAAAUCUAGGAAUAAGCCUGAUCAGUGAAAGUUUCAUGGGAAAGAGGAAGGAGGAAGAAAUUAUUUUAUUUUUAGAGUUUUGGGAGUUAGUGGUUAUGGACUUGCACUGGAGAAGAUGGGUGAGAAAGUUCAAGGUUUCUAAAAUGGGAAAGUAGGCCUGGAGAAAAUGUUGCAACCAAGAUUAUAAGGCCAAUUACCAGGUCUGAUUACCAGAAAAUAAUUUUUAAGGCAGGAAUAUUAGGCCAUAUCAGUACCUGAAAGAGUGAUCGAGGCUAAUUUGUUCAUUCAUGUAACAACAAUUUAUUAUGUGCUACUAAGUACCAUCACUAUAUUAUAAACUGAGGGUUCAGUAGUGGAUAAGAGAAACUAAUUCCCUGGCCUAAUGAAGAUUUCAUUCAACGGGGAAAACAAGAAACAUAUAUGUAAAUUAGCAAAAGUUAAUAAUAUCAUUCAAAGAGUGCUAAGAGCUCUGAAAAUAGUAAAGCAGGGUGACUGAUAAAACAGGACUAAGCAGGUAACAGUAAGAGGUGAUCAGGGAAAAAACCUCUGAAGAAAACAUAUUUGAUCUGGAAUCCAAAUGGCAAGUAGAAUGAAGAAGGUAAAUAAUUCAUACAAGAGCAUAUCUCUUCCAUAGCAAGUGCAAAGACCCUGGGCAAAUGCCAUAGUUGAGCUAGCACCCACCACUGGCUUCAAGUGAUGGGUGAGUGAUACAGACUCAAGGAAAGGGCCAAAAGGGCAGACAAAACCAGUUCAAUUUGUCACUUAUUCAUCCACCCAUUGAUCCAUCUACUGAUCCAUUUAUCCAUCCAUCCAUCCAUCCAUCCAUCCAUCCAUCCAUCCAUCUAUUCAACAUACAUGUUGGGUGCCCUUUACAUACCAGGACCUGUACUGGGCAUGGGAACUGCAGAGAUGAAAAGAUGAACAAUCUCUGUACUUGAGGGACUCAUCUCACUCUGUGAGAUGAACUGGCAUGUGACUGAAAACUCACUAUAUUGGUAACGAGACUAAAACACAGAGCUUAAUGAUUUAACCUGAUACCACCCAAGUGGUUAGCGGUUAGUGGCAGGGCUUCAGAAUUUUAUUUUCCUUCCCUACAGGGAAAACCAUUAUGUGUGACCUACUUUUUCAAACUCUCUUCCUCAGUGGGGCAACAAUUAGAGUUUAUCUAUUGCUAGUGCUUACCAUUUUAGGCUCCUUUAAUUAGAGUGUUUUAAAUUAGUGUUAUUUUAAUUUUGCUUAUCUCCUGAGACAUUAUAGAGGAUAAAUAGCAAAUGAAAUAAUGUACAUGAAAACACAUUGUAACCCAUAAACCAUCAUACAGAUGUGUGUUAUAUACAGUUUUAUAUUUGAGGAUAUAGCUUUAUGCAUUAGUACUGCUUCCUCCUCAGGGAUGUCUCCAAAAGAAUUCAGAGUAAAACAGACUUGUGGAUUGAUGCUUUAAAGACAUUUUGUAUUUUCUUUAAAAAUAAAAUUGACUCACAGUAGGUGCUUAAUAAAUAUUUGUUCAAAGAAUGCAUAAGAUGCAAUAUUCAGAGACAUAGAUUCAGUGUAGUAGGCAUCAGUGUGGCUACUUGGCUACUUACUGUGCAAAAGAUGUCAAUUUGUGAGUGCAAAUUCAUCUUAAGGAAAUUCUCUGAUUUAAUUUAAGCAUUGGUAGAGAGAUUUACUAUUAUCCUCCUUGGAAAUGAAAAGCAUAUAGCUCAGGGAAGGAAGAUCACAUUUUUAGGAGAACUAUCUGGGGGCAGAUUACCCAAAGUGUUAAUUAUUAUAAUUACUAUUGUUAAGUUGGUUUUAAAGUCCUAUAUGAUGUAAUAUCAUGUUCUCUUUUUGUUUCUCCAG